CCGUUCUUAAGAAGGGAUGUGACAAUGAUGUGAAAGAGAGAAAGCAGUGCAUGGGAUGAAAAGAAAAAGUAAGAAGGAAGAGUUAAUUAGAGACAAAAAGAAGUGGGAUUUUGGCCACCACCAGAAGAAACCAUCCUUGUUACCAGCAAUGUUUGCUGCACUCUCUCCACUAACUUAUGCCUAUUAUAUCUUCCAUCAUUUCAAUUUCAUCAACCAUUAACAUUUUAAACUCUA
rnacentral:sRNA from 1 species